AAAACUUUCAACAACGGAUCUCUUGGUUCUGGCAUCGAUGAAGAACGCAGCGAAAUGCGACAAGUAAUGCGAAUUGCAGAAUUUCCGUGAGUCAUCGAAUCUUUGAACGCACAUUGCGCCCACUGGUAUUCCGGUGGGCAUGCCUGUUCGAGCGUCAUU
rnacentral:rRNA from 1 species